ACUUGACUACGUUGCGAUUCAAGUCCACAGCCGCACCAUUUCCCCGAAAAGAAAAAAAAAGUUCCGCACCAGCGACUAGGGCGAGCGAGAUGACCAGCCGCCACCGCCCGCCGCCGUCGCCGGCGGCGGGUCCACUGGAGAACGACGACCUGCUCUCCGAGAUCCUCCUCCGCCUCCCCCCGCAGCCGUCCUCCCUCCCCCGCGCCUCCGCCGUCUGCACGCGCUGGCGCAGCCUCGCCUCCGACCCCGGCUUCUGCCGCCGUUUCCGCAUCCACCACCGCCGCAAUCUUCCCCUCCUCGGUUUCUUUGAAAAUUCUCUCGGCCGCUCCUUCAUACCUGCUCUGGAGGCGCCCAAUCGUGUCCCGCCCGGGCGCUUCUCCUUGCAGCCCGGCGACAGCGACCCGAUCCCCUUCCGGUGCAUCGGGUGCCGCCAUGGCCUCGUGCUAGUCUUCGACCUGAGGCGCCUUUACCUUGUGUGGGACCCCGUCACCGGCCACCAGCACCGCCUAGCCUUCCCCCCGGGGUUCGAUCCGGAGGGCUCGACCGUCAACGGGGCGGUGCUUCGUGCUGGGCCAGACGUCCAGCACUUCCAGGUGGUCUUGGUAGCGGCAGGCGACGACGACAAAAAACAAAGGCGAGUGUUCGCCUGCGUUUACUCGUCGGAGACCGGCCUGUGGGGCAAUGUCACCUCGACACCGAUUGAGUCCGAGGUUCCCAACGUCCUUCCCAUCGCAGUUGAUACAGUGCCUGCUGUGCUGGUUGGGCGUUCCCUUUACUGGUUACUUAAAGGGAGUUCAUCAAGCCACUCUCCAUUUAAUGCGGAGAAGCAAAUCAUUGAGUUUGAUUUAGAGAAGCAGAAGCUUGCUGUGAUACGGAUGCCAGGGGCGGUGGAUGUUUUUCUAGGCCGUGUAACAGUCGUGCAGGAAGACGGUGGUGGGCUGGGUUUCCUCAUCGUGAAAGACCUCACUGCCCAAGCUCAAUUAUGGAAGAGGAAGAUGGAUUCUGAUGGUGUUGGCUCAUGGGAACUGAAAAGAACCAUUGAUCUGAAUAAACUUCUUUCCCUGAAUUUAGAGAAGCAUAUAGGGAUAAUACGAUUUGCCGAGGACAAUAAUUUGCUGGUUCUGCCCACCGUUUUCGGCCUCUUCACAGUUCAGCUUCAGUCAUUGCAGUACAAGAAACUUUCUGGAUACAACAUAUUUUGUCACCUUCAUCCAUUCGAAAGUGUCUACAUUGCAGAAACAGGCAUCGGUGGUGGACAUGGUGCACCUGAUCUUUUACAAAACACAUAAAGAUGGUUGUCUCUUUGAGCAGGAAUCUACAGUUACAUUCUGGUGGCUGAGAUGUAGAAACGAGUUGUUGGGUGUAGUUUCUCCCAUUCUAAAGGUCGACUGCGGAGAUUGAGCCUCUAUGUAGCAUGCAUUGGUCAGCUGUUAAAUGAACUUCUGGCUGUGUGGUGCUAUUUGUUAUCUCACAACUGGUGACUCAACCGGGAUGGCGGCAAUGCCAUUUUGCUACUGGCAUGCUUCUUCUUCUUCUUUCCUUUGAGAUGAGAUGUAGGAUUUGAUGAGUUGGCUAACAUUUGAAAUAUUGUGAGUUAGUUUUGAAGAAAUUAAAAGGUCUCACUUAUUAUUACUGGCAAAAGGGAAAAAAAGAUGAAUAGUUUCGGUUCUUGCGAUCAGGAACAAGGAUAGUUAAACCAAUGAGAGGGCAAUGUUAGCUUGGAUCUGCCGUUGCGUGUUGAGAUUAUAAAGCCUUUUGCAUUAACGGUGUGAUUUUGCAAAACAUAUUCCG